UACGUAGGGGGCAAGCGUUGUCCGGAUUUAUUGGGCGUAAAGAGCGUGUAGGCGGUUUGGUAGGUCAGCUGUGAAAACUCGAGGCUCAACCUCGAGACGUCGGUUGAAACCAUCUGGCUAGAGUCCGGAAGAGGAGUGUGGAAUUCCCGGUGUAGCGGUGAAAUGCGCAGAUAUCGGGAAGAACACCCGUGGCGAAGGCGGCACUCUGGGACGGUACUGACGCUGAGACGCGAAAGCGUGGGGAGCGAACAGG
rnacentral:rRNA from 1 species